rnacentral:rRNA from 1 species
AUGCAUGUCUAAGUCCAAGCUGUGUUUACACGGCGAGACCGCGGACGGCUCAUUAAAUCAGUCGUUGUCCAAAUGGGCCAGUCCUUACUACUUGGAUAACUGUGGUAAUUCCAGAGCUAAUACAUGCAACUGUUAACCCCGAAGGCAGGAGCUUGUCUUCUGCUCGACGGGUGCUUUUAUUAGACCAAACCGCUGGGAGAGGCGCAAGCCUCUCGACUCGCUGUGUGGUGACUCUGGAUAACCAAUUUUGACAAGCGCACGUACCUCUCGGGGACGGCGCUGCCACUUUCGAGUGUCUGCCUUAUCAGCUGUCAACCGUUCGUUACACGCGACCGAUGGCUUUGACGGGUAACGGGGAAUCAGGGUUCGAUUCCGGAGAGGCAGCCUGAGAGACGGCUACCACGUCCAAGGACGGCAGCAGGCACGCAAAUUACCCAAUCCCAGCACCUGGGGGAGGUAGUGACGAAACCUAACGAUGCGGGCGCCCUUUACGGGCCCCGCAAUCGGAAUGAGCACUUUCUAAACAACCUGUUGAGAACCUACUGAAGGGCAAGUCUGGUGCCAGCAGCCGCGGUAAUUCCAGCUUCAGUAGCAUCUAUUAAAGUUGCUGCGGUUAAAAGGCUCGCAGUUGAAUGUCAGUGCCAGCUGUUGGUGGGUGGACGUUGGAGUGGCAGCUAUCGGCGCAAGCCAGCUGUUCGCUCCCGUCCGUUACAAGCCCCCACGGCUGUGUACACAGUGGCACCAACUGAGCUGUGGUGCAGGGGCUUCGCGGCUCUUGUCUGCAGUCUCUCUGGUGCCAACGUCACCCUGAGUAAAUCAGAGUGCUUAAAGCAGUCGUAUUGGGCGCAAGCCCUUUGAACACAGUCGCCUCUCGCAGGUGACACGGACAGACUUGGUUUUGCAUGGCAUGUCGGAAUACGACGUCGGGCGC